rnacentral:lncRNA from 1 species
AGAGAUGUAGCUUCUAACAUGCUUCUUUCAGAAAUCAUGAGAAAAUAUCAUAGCAAAGUAAGAUGCAAACUGUAGUAGGAUUCAGAGGAUAUAAUGGAAGAUACUGAUAUGAAUAGUAGAGGAAACAUGCUUAAGAAGCUCUUUCAGAAGAAGGCAAAUAAAGUUCAAUAGAAGAAAAAUAGUGAGAACACUCAAGAACAUGGUAGUUUCACAGAACCUAAUGGAAAUACUGGUAGGAAAUGUAGAAGUAACAUGCUUAGGGAUUUUUCUAAAAGAAACUUAAACAGGGCUCAGUAGAAGACAAACAAAUAACUUUCACCACUUAGUAAAUACAGUAAAAGAACAAAAGUACAUCAGAAACAUUAUAGCAAAAACCACAUAUAGAAGAACACAGUAAGAUAGUCAUAACAGCGCAUGGUAAAAGAAAGAAUACAAGAGCAGAGUGGGAGCAAGUACACGUAAAGGAAAAGGAAAGUCAGAAAUCACUUACACAUUUUAGAAAACCCUAGGGCGGAAAGGAAAGAUCUUAAAAAGAAGUAAUUUUUGAAAGAAAAAUUGGGGAAAUCGUUUCAAAACUCAAGUGGAGCAUAGAUACGUGACAGAUCUAAGACAAGAAAAUCAAAAAGAAUCUUGAGUAGCCAUGGAUUGCAGAGAAAAUCCUAGAAAUGAGAAAGGUCUUGAGAAAAGUCGGAUCUUGAGUCAAAAAGACUCAUAUUGCUCGAAUAUGCAGGUAAAGCCACAGAUCAACAGAUCUGAGAUGAUCUGAAAGGGAACCAUCAAGGUCGAGGCCUUGAUUCUUCAAAUAUUGAACACAAAUGAGUAAUUGAGGGCAAGUAUGAGGUUAUCAUGACCGGAACAACCAUUUUUUCCGGUGAGCUUCACGUAGAAGACAGUGAGAUGGGCUAGGGUUUCUAAUGUGUAUGAGAGAUUUUGAGAGAUGAGAGGUUUC